CUAGAUCGGGAAUGGGCGGACAAGAGUGAGAGUUACUGAGCUUAUAUCCCAGCAAAAUCCUGCUAAAAGAACGCUGCGAUUCACCAAAAUAUUUACAAAUAACCAGAGAAAACCAAGCAUUUAUCAUCUUGCAGCUGUAUCAAUUAAUUAUCUAGAGGAGAACGAGAUUACAUACUACAUUUCCUUUGGCUUUUCCUGUUAUGAAGGUGUCCUAGCCCAGUGGAGCAUGCAGACAAGGUGAUCACUGAUGUUAUCCAAGACAUUGCUAGCCGAAGAGUGAGCUGUAAUUCUCAAACGAUGUCAUUCGGAAACCGAGAAGGUGUCAUUCGCCAAGAUUUAUGAAGAAGACGUGAUAGCUCUUUUCAUCUCGUUCAAGGUUGGAGGGAGAUAUCACGAGCGAAUAUAUCAUUGAUGAGAAAUUGAGAAGUGAAUGUUUCUUUGGAGAUACUGCAGGGAAAGCAGAGUGAUUGAUCAUAACUGGAGACCAUUGGAUAUCAUAUGCCUUCUCCUGCUCAACAAAAAUUGGUUCAUUGACUGCAGUUUUUCAACUAU